UGGGGAAUUUUGGACAAUGGGCGAAAGCCUGAUCCAGCAAUGCCGCGUGUGUGAAGAAGGCCUUCGGGUUGUAAAGCACUUUUGUCCGGAAAGAAAUCCUCUGGGUUAAUACCUCGGGGGGAUGACGGUACCGGAAGAAUAAGCACCGGCUAACUACGUGCCAGCAGCCGCGGUAAUACGUAGGGUGCAAGCGUUAAUCGGAAUUACUGGGCGUAAAGCGUGCGCAGGCGGUUUUGUAAGACGGAUGUGAAAUCCCCGGGCUUAACCUGGGAACUGCAUUCGUGACUGCAAGGCUAGAGUAUGGCAGAGGGGGGUAGAAUUCCACGUGUAGCAGUGAAAUGCGUAGAGAUGGUGGAGGAAUACCGAUGGCGAAGGCAGCCCCCUGGGCCAAUACUGACGCUCAUGCACGAAAGCGUGGGGAGCAAACAGGAUUCAGAUACCCUGGUAGUCCACGCCCUAAACGAUGUCAACUAGUUGUUGGGGAUUCAUUUCCUUAGUAACGUAGCUAACGCGUGAAGUUGACCGCCUGGGGAGUACGGUCGCAA
rnacentral:rRNA from 1 species